rnacentral:rRNA from 1 species
UACGUAGGGGGCUAGCGUUGUCCGGAAUCAUUGGGCGUAAAGAGCGUGUAGGCGGCUCGGUAAGUCCGCUCUGAAAGCCCGGGGCUCAACCCCGGGAGGCGGGCGGAUACUGUCGGGCUAGAGUCCGGAAGAGGCGAGUGGAAUUCCUGGUGUAGCGGUGAAAUGCGCAGAUAUCAGGAGGAACACCGAUGGCGAAGGCAGCUCGCUGGGACGGUACUGACGCUGAGACGCGAAAGCGUGGGGAGCAAACAGG